UAGGGGUUCUGAGAGGAAGGUCCCCCACAUUGGAACUGAGACACGGUCCAAACUCCUACGGGAGGCAGCAGUGAGGAAUAUUGGUCAAUGGACGAGAGUCUGAACCAGCCAAGUAGCGUGCAGGAUGACGGCCCUAUGGGUUGUAAACUGCUUUUGCGCGGGGAUAACACCCUCCACGUGCUGGGGGUCUGCAGGUACCGCGCGAAUAAGGACCGGCUAAUUCCGUGCCAGCAGCCGCGGUAAUACGGAAGGUCCGGGCGUUAUCCGGAUUUAUUGGGUUUAAAGGGAGCGUAGGCCGUGAGGUAAGCGUGUUGUGAAAUGUAGGCGCCCAACGUCUGCACUGCAGCGCGAACUGCCCCACUUGAGUGCGCGCAACGCCGGCGGAACUCGUCGUGUAGCGGUGAAAUGCUUAGAUAUGACGAAGAACCCCGAUUGCGAAGGCAGCUGGCGGGAGCGUAACUGACGCUGAAGCUCGAAAGCGCGGGUAUCGAACAGGAUUAGAUACCCUGGUAGUCCGCGCGGUAAACGAUGGAUGCCCGCUGUGGCGCGCCUGGCGUGCCGCGGC
rnacentral:rRNA from 1 species